GUGGGGUGUAGGUCCGCCAGGCCUGCAACGGCUGCCGAGGGUCGUGGGAUGCGCUCGCCGCGUCCCUGCUCAGGCGGAGGGAGCCCGGCCCGCCGCCAGGGUCUCGAGUCCGGGUCCAGGCAGGCGUGGAGGAGUAUGACAACUUUUCAACUUGAGUGCACACACUGUCCCCGGAAUCCCGCGUUCCAGGGAGGAAGCGCCUUUGACAGCGCGCGCCGGUUCGUGGGGCCCGACGGCGUGGGCCUGUGGUUGCGGACCUGGCGGAGAUGCGCGUUCGCUUCGAUUGUAGGCCAUUCCUUUUAGGAGCUGAGAAAGGAUCCGUUUUUACAGCAUUCUCGACCUGUGAUUCUUGGUGGGGGAAACUAGUUAUGUGGAUAAAAAUACAGUUAGCAAAAUAAAAA
rnacentral:lncRNA from 1 species